UCCGUAGGUGAACCUGCGGAAGGAUCAUUACCGAGUGAGGGCCCUCUGGGUCCAACCUCCCACCCGUGUUUACUUACCACGUUGCUUCGGCGGGCCCGCCUUAACUGGCCGCCGGGGGGCUCACGCCCCCGGGCCCGCGCCCGCCGAAGACACCCCCGAACUCUGCCUGAAGAUUGUCGUCUGAGUGAAAAUAUAAAUUAUUUAAAACUUUCAACAACGGAUCUCUUGGUUCCGGCAUCGAUGAAGAACGCAGCGAAAUGCGAUACGUAAUGUGAAUUGCAAAUUCAGUGAAUCAUCGAGUCUUUGAACGCACAUUGCGCCCCCUGGUAUUCCGGGGGGCAUGCCUGUCCGAGCGUCAUUGCUGCCCUCAAGCCCGGCUUGUGUGUUGGGCCCCGUCCUCCGAUUCCGGGGGACGGGCCCGAAAGGCAGCGGCGGCACCGCGUCCGGUCCUCGAGCGUAUGGGGCUUUGUCACCCGCUCUGUAGGCCCGGCCGGCGCUUGCCGAUCAACCCAAAUUUUUUAUCCAGGUUGACCUCGGAUCAGGUAGGGAUACCCGCUGAACUUAAGCAUAUCAAUAAGCGGAGGA
rnacentral:rRNA from 1 species